CUAUGAUGGGGAUAACAGUUGGAAACGACUGCUAAUACCGAAUACGCUCAUGAUGAACUUUGUGAGGAAAGGUGGCCUCUGCUUGCAAGCUAUCGCAUAGAGAUGAGUCCGCGUCCCAUUAGCUAGUUGGUGGGGUAACGGCCUACCAAGGCAACGAUGGGUAGCCGAUCUGAGAGGAUGAUCGGCCACACUGGAACUGAAACACGGUCCAG
rnacentral:rRNA from 1 species